CAGGAAGCUCCACACCUUCACCAGUUUUCCCUGAAAUCACCAACCAGCCUACAGCUGCAGCUCCAACCACUUCAAAACCAAACAGGACUUUCCAACCCUUCUCAACUUCUGUCCCAUCAGCCUCCACACCAACAACAACCUCCACACCAACAACAACACUGAGUUUAAGCUCCAGUUCAGGAAGCUCAACACCUUCACCAGUUUUCCCUGAAACCACCAACCAGCCUUCAACUACAGAUGUCCCUCACCCUACUUCUUCAUAUGUCCCUUCCUAUUUAUUGCCUCUGGUUGCAUGUGUGCUUUUACUUGCUUUGUUACUGUUGGUUGGUUUUCUGUUGCUCCUCUACAUAUGGAAGACAAGGAAGAACAAAGAGCCGAAACACUGAGGUGACUCUCUUUAAUGCUGUAUGUCUCUGUCAUGACAACUUCUGCCACCACAGUAUAAAAUGGCAGGAAAAGAAUUUUAAAGUUUCACUGUAGAUUGAAUAGAAAAUCUGUGAUUUAUCAAACGUUUUGAUGUUAGAUAGAAGUAGACAAAGAGCUGUCAUAUUUAUAGCAACUUAGCACCUGUUGCUUUGGUAUUAUUUACUGUAGCUGGCUAAUUAAUAUCAAUCCUAUGAGUUGGUUGAAAGCUUUGUACUAUGCAGAUGUUAAUUGCCUUAAUUGGAACAAAUCAAAUAAAGUGAGAUACAAACAUCGCC